CUUUGGCGAGGUCCAUUAAAAAUAGGCAACCCCCCAUAGAAUUUUGUUUGGAGUCCUGAAUCAAGCAACAGAAUCCAAGGGAUUUUUCCUUAACAGUAGUCUCAAUUCUACUGGAAGUCUGGAAACCUUCUUAAUGGCAACUGUUAGAUACUUGCAGCAGAGAAAUAUCGUCAAAUUGUAUUUUUAUACUUGAAAGCUGUUUCGAGAUAUUCAAUGCCGAGGUUCCAUUCUUGUCUGAAAUUAAUUGCUGUUUUGAGAUGUCAGUCCAAUUUUUUAGUGUAAAAAAAUGUGCAAUUUUU